rnacentral:rRNA from 1 species
GUGAACGCUGGCGGUAGGCCUAACACAUGCAAGUCGAACGGCAGCACAGUAAGAGCUUGCUCUUACGGGUGGCGAGUGGCGGACGGGUGAGGAAUACAUCGGAAUCUACUUUUUCGUGGGGGAUAACGUAGGGAAACUUACGCUAAUACCGCAUACGACCUACGGGUGAAAGCAGGGGAUCUUCGGACCUUGCGCGAUUGAAUGAGCCGAUGUCGGAUUAGCUAGUUGGCGGGGUAAAGGCCCACCAAGGCGACGAUCCGUAGCUGGUCUGAGAGGAUGAUCAGCCACGCUGGAACUGAGACACGGUCCAGACUCCUACGGGAGGCAGCAGUGGGGAAUAUUGGACAAUGGGCGCAAGCCUGAUCCAGCCAUACCGCGUGGGUGAAGAAGGCCUUCGGGUUGUAAAGCCCUUUUGUUGGGAAAGAAAAGCAGCAGGUUAAUACCCCGCUGUUCUGACGGUACCCAAAGAAUAAGCACCGGCUAACUUCGUG